rnacentral:rRNA from 1 species
GGAUGCGAUCAUACCAGCACUAAAGCACCGGAUCCAUCAGAACUCCGCAGUUAAGCGUGCUUGGCGAGAGUAAGCUAGGAUGGGUGACCCUGGGAAGUCUCGUGUUGCAUCCC